UACAGAGGUCUCAAGCGUUGUUCGGAUUCAUUGGGCGUAAAGGGUGCGUAGGUGGUGACGCAAGUCUGGUGUGAAAUCUCGGAGCUUAACUCCGAAAUUGCACCGGAUACUGCGUAACUCGAGGACUGUAGAGGAGAUCGGAAUUCACGGUGUAGCAGUGAAAUGCGUAGAUAUCGUGAGGAAGACCAGUUGCGAAGGCGGAUCUCUGGGCAGUUCCUGACACUGAGGCAUGAAGGCCAGGGGAGCAAACGGG
rnacentral:rRNA from 1 species